rnacentral:rRNA from 1 species
UGCCAGCAGCCGCGGUAAUACGGAGGGUGCAAGCAUUAAUCGGAAUUACUGGGCGUAAAGAGUGCGUAGGCGGUUAGGUAAGUCAGAUGUGAAAUCCCGGAGCUUAACUCCGGAACUGCCUUUAAAACUGGUAAGCUAGAGGAUGUGAGAGGUGAGUGGAAUUCCGAGUGUAGAGGUGAAAUUCGUAGAUAUUCGGAAGAACACCAGUGGCGAAGGCGACUCACUGGCACAUUUCUGACGCUGAGGCGCGAAAGCGUGGGGAGCAAACAGGAUUAGAUA